rnacentral:rRNA from 1 species
CCGGAGGGGUCACACCCGUUCCCAUCCCGAACACGGAAGUUAAGCCCUCCAGGGCCGAUGAUACUGCACUGGUCACGGUGUGGGAAAGUAGGUCGUUGCCGGAA